UGUUGCAUGUAUGAUGCCAGAAUCGCUUCUCUUCAAGCAGUGGACUGAAAUUCUACAGAAUUCCGAAGAUAGCAUAUCCAUUUAAACAAAACCGGAGGCGUCUGUGGCUGCAGGCCAUCAAAAGGGUUGAUGAAAACUGGACUGAAAACACGAUCCGAAAUGCUCGAGUUUGUAGCGCCCAUUUUAUAUCAGGUAAGGUAAUUAUGUACUAAGAUUACACCAGAAAGCUGGUUAACGUGUGUUCUAUUAAAUAAAGUAAGUUGCGUUUGCUGGUUUGCUUUUAAGCAGUCUAUUUAUUUACAGGCGAGGCAUCAUUGGACUCCUCCAGUCUUGAUUUUGUGCCUUCUGUGUUUACGUACACAAAGCGAAGUCCAAACCCCCAUGCAAAGAUGGACAGGUGUCAACGGAAAAGGAGAAGGGAUGAAACGUCUUUCACUCCAUCAAAUCAGCUGGCUGCUUCAGAGAAUACAGAUCAGCAAUCAUCAUUGGCUCACCUUGCCACUGAAGAGGACCUCCCUGUUCCAAGGAGGGAAUAUGAUGGCCUACAACAAAGAUAUGCUAGGCUUCAUAAAAACCAUGUCAACCUGCAGCUGGAGUUUGAAAAACUUAAGGCAGAAAAUUGUAAGCUUAAAGAGGAGCUGACAAAUUCAGCGUUUUCCUGCAAAUAUUAGGUGCAACAGGCGAGCACCGAUUUUUUUCACAGGACUUACAACUCUUGUCUUUGAUUGGCUGCUAACAAAAAUAACAGACAGUGUGGAGAUUAUUUCAUCUGUCACCUGGAUGGGGUGGAAGGGUUUCAGGCAAACAAAUAAAAGAGUCAGGGCUUUUUGAUCUUUUGGAACGCAAUGAUGAUAUUCUAGCUGAUGGAAGAUUUCAAAUCCGAGAUGAACUUGCCGCUUGUGGAGCCACUCUCCGUAUACUUCAUUUCACAAAAGGGAAAAAGCAACUCUCUGCUCAGGAGGUAGACUCAUCAAGACAACUGUCUUGUGUCAGGAUACACGUUGAACGAGUAAUAGGAUGCUGGAAGAACUGUAAGAUUUUGCAAACAGUAAUUUCUGUGUCACAACUCAACAUUCUAGAUGACAUUGCGAUUGUGUGUGCUGCUCUAACAAACCUCUGUAAGAGUGUUGUUCCCAAAAAAAAAAAAAAAACACCCAAAAAUAUCCACUCCCAUGAUCCCAUGCAGACUAUGAACAGUGCUACUGUCAUUUGCUAGAAAACGUAAAACUGAUUUUGCAUUACUGUAAGAAAAAAUGUAAAGCUGCUACUGUGGUUUUUUUGUACAAUUUUUUUUUAAAUUUCUCUGUAUGCGACUUGUCAGAAACAUUUCGAUUGUGCACAAAUUAAAUGUUUGUGGUUUCAACAUUAGAUGCAGACUAAAAUAAACACAUACAAACACCACUGAAUCCUAAAGAAUUGUUUAUUUGAAAAUUAUUUGAGCAUCAAUACCAUUCUUUUAAAUCCAAGAAUUAGCCAGGCUUGUUUUAAAUCAACUUGGAAAGAUCAAGACUCAGCACAGUCCAGACAUAACCACAUUGUUGUUUUGCAUCUGAUGUUUACACAGCUGAGAUGAAAGUGACUGCUGCAUUUAUUACAGUAUAUUGUUUUGGUCAAAUCCGGCCUUCCACAGAAUUUGCAUGCUCUCUGUCAUUCCAAUGCAGGAUCGAAUCUUCUCGUUAGGAGCUCUGGCAACACGUGGGAAAUGAAGGUCUCCUGAGCUUUAGGCAAAGUGUCCUGCAGAUGUUUGUGGUCUUUACCAACACGCUGUACAAUGAACUCUUUCUUCGUCCACACCACAAAGUCACAGUAGUUUACAUCACACACAAACAUGUGGAGCUGAAUCUGGUAGUAGUAUGGGUGUGAGGGCUUCAACAUUAAUGAGUUGUCUAGGCAGAACUUGGGGUCUUUGGUACUUCCCUGAAGACUCUCCCUGUAUUUGUAGGGACAUUUGAUCUCCACCACUCCUUUUCCACAGCAGGUACAUGCCACAGUCCCAUCCGGGGAUGAUCCAAGGUAUGGCUCAGAUGGCUGAACAACUAAACCACAGGUGCUGACCAUGAGUCCUUGGUGAUUAUUUGCCAUGAAAUAACUAUACUGUUGUCAAGCGGUUUGCUCCAUAUUUUCACCCCAGAUGACAGAUGGGACAUUUAAUGUGGUCUUAUUGUACCGCAUUAUGUCCAUUAUGUAAUUUUUGCUGAGUUUGUCUGUUGUGGCCACAUGGUGAAAUUUUGUAUUUGUGAUCCUACCAGCCCUAUAGAUAUGUCAGUCAUGUGACUUUGACUGCUGCCUUGCUACCCAUUGUAGUUUUUCUUGUUGAUGCUGCUGCGUUGUAGUUUUUAAGUCUUUGAAAUCUUUCUUCACAUUUUACAUGUAAUUCCUGGGGUGAGAGCUCCCUGAGUGUAGUGUCAAAUAAAGCAGUCAAGGGCUCUGGCAAGCCAGUUUGUUCCUCUGUGUCUGAUGAAGCGGUAUCUGUGUCACUGUUGUCCAUGCUUGUCAGGACUGCAGCUUCUGGCUCCACUGCCUUUAGUUCCAGGAUGUCAUCAUCUGUCAAGGCUGGGGAAAGCAUAAUAAGACAUAAUUAGAACGCAGUUUUCAGUUUUAAUAAAUUUUAUGUUUCUAUCUUUUCCUUUAACUAAAGACACAGAAUAAAUUAUUACCAAUUAAGAAAUAAUACAUUCAAUGUGCAACCACAAACCAGAACUUAGAUUACACUUGUCAUUCAUUACAUGCCUCUUAGUGUGACACUGCUCCUCCAAACAGUUUCCGAAGCUACUAGGAGCUGUCUGCCUAGCUUCUCUGAUUUGUGGAAACUGAUCUUCAGUGGAGCUGGUUCUACAUUUUUCCUGCUCAGGUCUUUCCAUGCACAUGCCUGAGAUGUAACUGCAGCCUUUUCUGUUUUUCCAAUCUGAACACAAAGCUCAACUUUGAAUAAAAUUGCUGCUGCAUGGCUGCAGCAUGACCCAAGUCUGGAACAUCAAAAUGACAGAAUUAAACAUACCGUAAAUCCUCUAAUACAGGCCCGGGCCUGUAUUUGACUCAAGCUCAUCAAGCUCCAGGCCUUUAUUGGAAGGAGGACCAGAAUUAGAGGCAGGCCUCUAUUUCUAUUUGAGCAAAAUGAACUAAUGGUUCGCUGGAGUUUUUGACAAUUAAAAUUGCGCCCACAUUUUCAAAGUUAAACACAUUUCUUUUAACAACGGUAGUUUCUGCUUCAGCCCUC
rnacentral:lncRNA from 1 species